rnacentral:rRNA from 1 species
UACGGAAGGGGCAAGCGUUGUUCGGAAUCAUUGGGCGUAAAGGGCGCGUAGGUGGUUCUGUAUGUCUACCGUGAAAGCAUACAGCUCAACUGUAUUUUGUCGGUAGAAACUGCAGGACUCGAGGCUGGGAGGGGCUGGUGGAAUUCCCUGUGUAGCGGUGAAAUGCGUAGAGAUGGGGGAGAACACUCGUGGCGAAGGCGGCCAGCUAGACCAGUUCUGACACUGAGGCGCGACAGCGUGGGGAGCAAACAGG